GAUGAACGCUGGCGGCGUGCCUAAUACAUGCAAGUCGAGCGAACAGACGAGGAGCUUGCUCCUCUGACGUUAGCGGCGGACGGGUGAGUAACACGUGGAUAACCUACCUAUAAGACUGGGAUAACUUCGGGAAACCGGAGCUAAUACCGGAUAACAUGUUGAACCGCAUGGUUCAACAGUGAAAGACGGUCUUGCUGUCACUUAUAGAUGGAUCCGCGCCGCAUUAGCUAGUUGGUAAGGUAACGGCUUACCAAGGCAACGAUGCGUAGCCGACCUGAGAGGGUGAUCGGCCACACUGGAACUGAGACACGGUCCAGACUCCUACGGGAGGCAGCAGUAGGGAAUCUUCCGCAAUGGGCGAAAGCCUGACGGAGCAACGCCGCGUAAGUGAAGAAGGUCUUCGGAUCGUAAAACUCUGUUAUUAGGGAAGAACAAAUGUGUAAGUAACUAUGCACGUCUUGACGGUACCUAAUCAGAAAGCCACGGCUAACUACGUG
rnacentral:rRNA from 1 species